UUCCAGACUCCUACGGGAGGCAGCAGUGGGGAAUAUUGCACAAUGGGGGAAACCCUGAUGCAGCGACGCCGCGUGAGUGAAGAAGUAUUUCGGUAUGUAAAGCUCUAUCAGCAGGGAAGAUAAUGACGGUACCUGACUAAGAAGCCCCGGCUAACUACGUGCCAGCAGCCGCGGUAAUACGUAGGGGGCAAGCGUUAUCCGGAUUUACUGGGUGUAAAGGGAGCGUAGACGGCUGUGCAAGCCAGAUGUGAAAGCCCGGGGCUCAACCCCGGGACUGCAUUUGGAACUGUGUAGCUGGAGUGUCGGAGAGGCAGGCGGAAUUCCUAGUGUAGCGGUGAAAUGCGUAGAUAUUAGGAGGAACACCAGUGGCGAAGGCGGCCUGCUGGACGAUGACUGACGUUGAGGCUCGAAAGCGUGGGGAGCAAACAGGAUUAGAUACCCCAGUACA
rnacentral:rRNA from 1 species